AUCCAACUGCAAAUUCUCUAUGGUUGACACCGAAACAUCAGUUUCAGCUCCUUGUGACUUUUUUAGCUUUGCCACAAGGACCCACAUGUUGGCAAGUUCAUUUUCCAGUUAUUUUUUUAGCGCGCAUAGAGGCCCGAUUUGUCUUUCAGAGUUUCACGAGAGGCGCGUGCAAAGAAGGUAGGGAUGAAAUUGGUAUUUGGUAGUAUUACUACUAGUUAGUACUGUAUACACUAAUACGCCAGCAAUGACAGUUACAUGUGUCAAGGGAUGGGACCUACGACACUCACUUAGGCUCUCCAAAGCUUUCAAUGUAAACUAAUUUUUCACGUUACCUUCGCAUUGUGCUCUCUAUCCUCCUCAUUUGUUGUUAUUAUCUAGUA